AUGCAGUCGAGCGGUAGCACAGAGAGCUUGCUCUCGGGUGACGAGCGGCGGACGGGUGAGUAAUGUCUGGGAAACUGCCUGAUGGAGGGGGAUAACUACUGGAAACGGUAGCUAAUACCGCAUAACGUCGCAAGACCAAAGUGGGGGACCUUCGGGCCUCAUGCCAUCAGAUGUGCCCAGAUGGGAUUAGCUAGUAGGUGGGGUAACGGCUCACCUAGGCGACGAUCCCUAGCUGGUCUGAGAGGAUGACCAGCCACACUGGAACUGAGACACGGUCCAGACUCCUACGGGAGGCAGCAGUGGGGAAUAUUGCACAAUGGGCGCAAGCCUGAUGCAGCCAUGCCGCGUGUGUGAAGAAGGCCUUCGGGUUGUAAAGCACUUUCAGCGGGGAGGAAGGCGGUGAGGUUAAUAACCUCAUCGAUUGACGUUACCCGCAGAAGAAGCACCGGCUAACUCCGUGCCAGCAGCCGCGGUAAUACGGAGGGUGCAAGCGUUAAUCGGAAUUACUGGGCGUAAAGCGCACGCAGGCGGUCUGUCAAGUCGGAUGUGAAAUCCCCGGGCUCAACCUGGGAACUGCAUUCGAAACUGGCAGGCUAGAGUCUUGUAGAGGGGGGUAGAAUUCCAGGUGUAGCGGUGAAAUGCGUAGAGAUCUGGAGGAAUACCGGUGGCGAAGGCGGCCCCCUGGACAAAGACUGACGCUCAGGUGCGAAAGCGUGGGGAGCAAACAGGAUUAGAUACCCUGGUAGUCCACGCUGUAAACGAUGUCGAUUUGGAGGUUGUGCCCUUGAGGCGUGGCUUCCGGAGCUAACGCGUUAAAUCGACCGCCUGGGGAGUACGGCCGCAAGGUUAAAACUCAAAUGAAUUGACGGGGGCCCGCACAAGCGGUGGAGCAUGUGGUUUAAUUCGAUGCAACGCGAAGAACCUUACCUGGUCUUGACAUCCACAGAACUUUCCAGAGAUGGAUUGGUGCCUUCGGGAACUGUGAGACAGGUGCUGCAUGGCUGUCGUCAGCUCGUGUUGUGAAAUGUUGGGUUAAGUCCCGCAACGAGCGCAACCCUUAUCCUUUGUUGCCAGCGGUUAGGCCGGGAACUCAAAGGAGACUGCCAGUGAUAAACUGGAGGAAGGUGGGGAUGACGUCAAGUCAUCAUGGCCCUUACGACCAGGGCUACACACGUGCUACAAUGGCAUAUACAAAGAGAAGCGACCUCGCGAGAGCAAGCGGACCUCAUAAAGUAUGUCGUAGUCCGGAUUGGAGUCUGCAACUCGACUCCAUGAAGUCGGAAUCGCUAGUAAUCGUAGAUCAGAAUGCUACGGUGAAUACGUUCCCGGGCCUUGUACACACCGCCCGUCACACCAUGGGAGUGGGUUGCAAAAGAAGUAGGUAGCUUAACCUUCGGGAGG
rnacentral:rRNA from 1 species